UGGGGAAUAUUGGACAAUGGGCGAAAGCCUGAUCCAGCCAUGCCGCGUGUGUGAAGAGGGUCUUCGGAUUGUAAAGCACUUUAAGUUGGGAGGAAGGGCAGUAAGCGAAUACCUUGCUGUUUUGACGUUACCGACAGAAUAAGCACCGGCUAACUCUGUGCCAGCAGCCGCGGUAAUACAGAGGGUGCAAGCGUUAAUCGGAAUUACUGGGCGUAAAGCGCGCGUAGGUGGUUCGUUAAGUUGAAUGUGAAAGCCCCGGGCUCAACCUGGGAACUGCAUCCAAAACUGGCGAGCUAGAGUAGGGCAGAGGGUGGUGGAAUUUCCUGUGUAGCGAUGAAAUGCGUAGAUAUAGGAAGGAACACCAGUGGCGAAGGCGACCACCUGGGCUCAUACUGACACUGAGGUGCGAAAGCGUGGGGAGCAAACAGG
rnacentral:rRNA from 1 species